GCAGACUCCCUCUCUCUGUUUUCUGGUAGCAAGGAAUUGGCACUUAAAGCUGGCACUGUCCUCACUGUGCAGGAGACUGGCACCAAGCUUGCACCUCUACAAAACAGGGUUUCUUACUGUGUGCAAGCAGAAGCAGCAGAAUAACGUUUUUAUUCAUCAAAUACCAUUCACAACAAUGACGAAGAGUUCCAAGGAUGGAUCGGUGGCUCCGCUGAACAACCCAUGAACCCAGACCCAAGAUUUUAUACGUGAAUGUACUUUUCUAUUCCUGCAUUAUAUCUAUAUUUUUUUUUUGUGCCUUCAACCUCCUGUAGUGUUCUGAGCCAAUAGGUGGUACAUGUGCAUAAUAUUUGUUGAUUAUUGCAUAAAAUAUGCCUGUUUUCAGGAUCCUUGCAGAAUGUAUGAUCCCUGAUUGUUGGAUAGUGGUUUACACCAUUUAAGUUCGCCCGUAUACCCUUGGACCCUCGGUCUUUCUAUGGUUACCGAUAGUUGUCUGUUGGGCCAUGAACCUUGUCCCCUUCUGUUCCCCAAGGAUGGGACACAGUGUGGUUGGGAUGCCUCGGGUGGGCCAAUACAACACACCCAGUAUGUAUGGUCUUCUCUGAUUGUAAGGAUCCUUUUCCUCUUUUGGUAUUAGCUUGAUUCUAUCCCCCCCCCCCCCCCCCACACACAUAUUUAUUCACUCAAUAUUCCUGUGUUCUAGACAUCUGAUUAUGACAUUUUGAUCACUUAUUUAUGCAGCAAUGUUUUCAUUCCGUGCCUUCAGACACUUAUGUGCGCUGCGUCCCUUCAUUGGCUGACACAGGUGCUAGCCAUGUGACCUCCUGCGUGUGGUCCUUCUUUGAUACGCUUCCCUUUCAUGCCCUGCAGUAAGAUGGCUGCACUCUCACGGCGCAUGCGCCAGUGAUAUUUUCCAGUAGCGGGACAUAUUUCACACCUAUCUUCUUAUCUUCCCCAUUACGCUAUUGGCUCAGUACACUCAGUGCAGAAGCACCGAUAUGGCGCGCUACGGAUAUACCACUCCAGGCUGCUUUGUGUACAUAUUCUGUGGGGUAAGUUCGGAUUGCCACCGCCCAAUCCUGAAUAUGAUUGACUACAUGUAAUGUUUACAGCUGUGAGCCCUUGCUCUCCUAUUUGAUAUUUUAUGUGAUUUUAACGUUAUUAUGCACUUUAUGAUUGUCUGCACGUUUGGACAUAUCUGUAAUGUCCCUUAUCUGUAUUUUUCUGCACGAUUUUGGAUUUUAUACUUUGUUUAUAUCUGAUUAUUGUAUAAUGUAUGCAAAUGAAUCAGUCACAUGACUCUUGCAUAUUUAAACCUCAUUGGAUCACUUGCACUUUGGCUUGAAAAUGGUGGUGUGAGACCACAGAAAUGUUGUCCUUGCAUUUCUGGAAUAAAGCUACUCCUUGCU